ensembl:lncRNA
GAACCAGCUAGACCAUGCUGGUCGGCCAGCAGAACCAGCUAGACCAUGCUGGUCGGCCAACAGGACCAGCUAGACCAUGCUGGUCGGCCAGCAGGACCAGCUAGACCAUGCUGGUCGGCCAACAGGACCAGCUAGACCAUGCUGGUCGGCCAGCAGGACCAGCUAGACCAUUCUGGUCCUCUAGCAGGACCAGCUAGACCAUGCUGAUCGGCCAACAGGACCAGCUAGACCAUGCUGAUCGGCCAACAGGACCAGCUAGACCAUGCUGGUCGGCCAGCAGGACCAGCUAAACCAUGCUGGUCGGCCAGCAGGACCAGCUAAACCAUGCUGGUCGGCCAGCAGGACCAGCUAGACCAUGCUGGUCAGCUAACAGGACCAGCUAGACCAUGCUGGUCAGCCAACAUGACCAGCUAGACCAUGCUGGUCAGCCAACAGGACCAGCUAGACCAUUCUGGUCCUCUAGCAGGACCAGCUAGACCAUGCUGAUCGGCCAACAGGACCAGCUAGACCAUGCUGGCCAGCUAACAGGACCAGCUAGACCAUGCUGGUCAGCUAACAGGACCAGCUAGACCAUGCUGGUCAGCCAGCAUAACCAGCUAGACCAUGCUGGUCAGCCAGCAUAACCAGCUAGACCAUGCUGGUCCUCUAACAGGACCAGCUAGACCAUGCUGGUCAGCUAACAGGACCAGCUAGACCAUGCUGGUCAGCUAACAGGACCAGCUAGACCAUGCUGGUCAGCUAACAGGACCAGCUAGACCAUGCUAGCAAUGCUGAAAAAAAUGGCCCCACUAAUACAGGACUAGUAAAGAUGAGGCUAACACUUGGUGUUAUUGUGCAUGUUAGUUCUCCAUGUGAAUGUUACUUUUCUAUAACUUUUUUUUCUUCCUAUUUUGUUGUUUUCUUCCACUCACCUCCUCACUUCCCAGUCCCCCUUGCAGAGUUUUUCAAAGGUUUUGAAUAGCCUUACUCUGGCACUGCCAAAUAGGCUAGGCAGGGCAGCAACUAAAUCUAUCAGUUGGAACAUGUGCGGUUUCAACCACCAGAUCAAAUGCGUUGUCAUUGAGCAGGGCAAACUAUUCAACAUGCCAGUUGUCUUAGCCAGUAUGUAUGCUUCUAAUUGGGCCAAUGACCAGUUUUUAUGGGAGUUUUUUUUCACUCCCCCCUGAUCUGAACACUCACCGACUUACACUAGCAGGGGAUUUGAACUGUUUCCUGCACCCCACAUUAGAUCGCUCUACAACGGUAUCAGGGCCUUUUCUAAAUCAGCACGUUUUAUUAAUUAUUUUAACCAGGUAUAUUGUGUAACAGACCCAAUCCUACAUCUUAACAAUGUGCUCUAUUUUCCCCAGUCCUUCAGACGUAUUCCAGAAUUGAUAGUUUCCUUCGAGACAACAAGUUGCUCCCAAUACUGAAGUCCACUGAUUAUGAGGGUAUUGUCAUCUCAGACUACAGUGCAGUGGUAAUGGUAUUGUGUUUUCCUGAUAACGUUCUCCCACAAUGCACUUGGCGACUCAAUCCACGUCUCUUCUCAGAUGAAGAAUUGAACAGAUGCGUAUAUAUCUGCCCAAAUUGAUUUUUUCCUUGAGGUCAAUCGGCUUUCAGAGACAAUAAUGGGAAGCGCUGAAAGCUACGUGGCCAGAUCAUAUCAUAUGACGCCGGCAUGAAUAAGAGGUCAGGGCAUCUUACAGAACUUGCUAACCUUAUAAACGACAUUGAUCAGAGGCACUCAACCACGCCAUUGGAUAUUUGAUGGAUAUUCGCGCUUUCAAACCUCAAUAGCUUUCUAACCACUAGAGUCACAGACUCCAAAUAAGUGUCUUGAUGUUGGAAAAAUUGCGCACACCAUUGCAGAGGUCUUAUUUUCACGAUUUGGACAUUACUUCGCUUUCCAAAGCUAAUAAACAUGUGGAAAUGUGAGCAGCAUCUUGUAUUCCAAGUUGAAUUUGUUAGGGAGCGUAAUCAAAGUGCAAACGUUUUGUACAUUCAAAGUUUAAUAGCUCCUGGUGACUUCAAACAAGGUUCAGAAUGUCCACUCAGUGGGCCUACACAUUGCACACCCUUUAGUUUGUCCAUUUUCAUCUCACAUGGAUUUACAUGAAAUUUUCAAUAUUUAGAAUUUCAAUACCUCCUUGGUCAUGUGACCUGGUAACUUCAAACAAGGUUCAGAAUGUCCACUGACUACCCUUCUAUAUUGCACACCCUUUAGUUUGUCAAUUUUCAUCUCACAUUGGUUUUACAGGAAUUUCUCAAAAUGUAGAAUUUCAAUAGCUCCUUGGUCAUGUGACCUACUGACCUCAAACAAUGUCCCACUUACUAUACCUUCAUAUAUCGCACACUCUGAUGUUUGUCUACUUUCAUAUCAUGCUAUUAGACUUAAAUCUGUAAGCUUUGCAGGCCUUCAUUUUACAUGGGUGUUAAAAAAUCUGUUUAAGUCAACAAAUGUUCCAUCCUCGCAAUAACUAUCUUUCACAUGGACACUGAAAAUAUCUGCAAUUGGCUGUAUGUGGAAUGGAUCAAGGACAGGAGAGGUGUUCGAACAGAGGUGCUUUAAGGAAGGUGCACAGGUGGGCCUCAUGAAAAACAAUGUUUCAUAAGUUAUUUUUAACCACAGUAAUAGGCAGUGAUUUGUCAGUCAAUCCUUUUCAUAGCAUCACUUUCAUAUACUGUACAUUAAGACAAAUCCUUCUACGUCGAGAAUUAGAACGCAGUUUACAUAACCUGAUAAUUACUUGAUAUUUGAGUGCGUUCACAACAAGCCUCCUGCAGACAACUUACAAAAUGCAAUAUUGUAUUUGAGGCUUUGUUUUUCUGAUGAAAGUAGUUAUUUGAUGCAUGGCCUACUAUUUCUAACUGGGAAAAUACUCAGCAAAUUGGAUGCAGUCUAUCACAGUGCCAUCCGUUUCGUCACCAAAGCCCCAUAUACUACCCACCACAGCGACCUGUAUGCUCUCAUUGGCUGGCCCUCGCUUCAUAUUCGUUGCCAAACCCACUGGCUCCAGGUCAUCUAUAAGUCCUUGCUAGGUAAAGCCCCGCCUUAUCUCAGCUCACUGGUCACCAUAGCAGCACCCACCCGUAGCAUGCGCUCCAGCAGGUAUAUUUCACUGGUCACCCCCAAAGCCAAUUCCUCCUUUGGCCGCCUUUCCUUCCAGUUCUCUGCUGCCAAUGACUGGAACGAAUUGCAAACAACACUGAAGCUGGAGACUCAUAUCUCCCUCACUAUCUUUAAGCAUCAGCUAUCAGAGCAGCUUACAGAUCAUUGCACCUGUACAUAGCUGUCACGAGAAUUUACAAUCCCAAUGAUGAUAACAAUCACUGUAGCUUUGACCAAUUCCCCCUAGGUUGUAAAGCUAGGGUUAAUAAGAAUUAGGCAAAGACUCAUAUUCUGCAAAAGGUUCAUUGUUGUUUAUUCAUGAGAGCUCUAAAGUCAACCAAAAUUCGAACAGUCUUUAUAACCUCCUCUAUGCACACACACACACACACACACACACACACACACACAGUUGUAUCACUUUUCUACCAGCCUUUGCAGUUUCUCGCCGUACUCUCCUCUCCUUCCUAGAUUAGAGAGGCCUUGGAAGGGCCCUCCUGUUGUCAGCUUUUUCAGAGUUAUCAUGUGUAGUCUACCAGCCUCUGUUUUCUCCACAUAUUUCUCCCUCUUAACUUGUCCCACACAUGUAUUAUUGGAAUAUAGUCUUAUAUGUUUCAGGGUGGAAUUCUUUAGUCAUUUCUUUAAACAUAUAAAUUCCCUUAUCAAUAGCCCAUCUGUAAAUAGCCCAUCCAACUACCUCAACCCCAUAUUGUUUUUUUUUCUUUUUCUCCUUUGCACCCCAGUAUCUCUACUUGCACAUUCAUCGUCUGCACAUGUCACUCCAGUGUUUAUUUGCGAAAUUGUAAUUAUUUCACCACUACGGCCUAUUUAUUGCCUUUCCUCCCUAAUCUUACUUCAUUUGCACACACUGUAUAUAGACUUUUGUAUUGUGUAUUGUGUUAUAUUUCUCAACUGCAUACAGUGGGGCAAAAAAGUAUUUAGUCAGCCACCAAUUGUGCAAGUUCUCCCACUUAAAAAGAUGAGAGAGGCCUGUAAUUUUCAUCAUAGGUACACUUCAACUACGACAGACUAUAACUAAUCAUAAUUCCAUUAUGUUUACAUAAAAAAGAGAAUACUUCAAAAUGAGAAGAUCCUGCCAUGGAAAAGACGACUACGUGGACAUAAAGUGUAAAGGAGGGGAAAUAACUCCCACCAUGCAGCAGGACACCUUCAGCUGUGGGGUCUUUGUAAUGCAGGUUUGAUAGUUAUAUUUUCAAUAAUGAAUGGUUAUGUCACGACUUCACCGAAGUCGGUCCCUCUCCUUGUUCGGGCGGCGUUCGGCGGUCGACGUCGCCGGCCUUCUUGCCAUCGCCGACCCACUUUUCAUUUUCCAUUUGUUUUGUCUUUGUCUUACACACCUGGUUUCAAUCCACCAAUUCCCUGUUCAUUAUUUAACACUCGGAUCCCGAGUUUGUUGUUUGUGAUUUUAGGAAGGUAUGUUAUUGUGGGCUCUGUUUUUGUAUUGAAAUUAUUUUAUGUUGAGUAAAAUAUGUUUAUUUACUCAUAUCUGCUGUCCUGUGCCUGACUCCUAUACACCAGCUACACACAGACUUCCAUACAGGUUAGCUGUUAUGUGACAAUUUGGUCAAAAAACGCUAUUUUAUUUUUUGGUGUAGAUGGCCAAGGAAGUUGCACAGAACUUCCCCAACAUCCCCUCCCAAACUGAUAUGGAACCUUCAAAAACACAUGGAGCAACUGCGAAAAGAAAUGGCUGAGGAUAUGUUAAAAAUGUCUGAUAUGUAAUGACAUUUAAUUCAAAGUAAAUGUAAAUACUUUAUUUUUAUGUAGUUGUGUGGGACAGCCAUAUGUUCAGUUCAUGCCUAUGAUUUCAGAGUUCAACAAAGCCAACAACUGCUUCAUGUGUGCCACUGAUAAAGAACCUGGAUGUGCCUCAAAGACUGACUGGGUUAGUAACUUUAUUUAACAUGUUUAUAAUCUUUUGACAACAGUGAUGGCAUGUAAGACAAUUUAUGAUAUAACACAAUGGAUGGCUAAUUCAUCAUUCGUCAUUCUGCGUUGAUAUUUGAUUUUAUGUAUAACGUGUUACACUUUGUUUUGUUUUAGACUGACUGUUUUACAUGCCAAUAGUGGUUCCAUGUGCUGUAACUAGGUAGGAAGACUAAAGAGUUCAACAGAGUAAAGAACACAAACUGGAAGUGCGGUCUUUGUUGUUGAAAAUGUAUGCUCUACCCCAUCCACACUGAAGAGGCUCUGACAUGUACAUCAACCAGAGUUAAUGUCUGCUCUACCCCAUCCACACUGAAGAGGCUCUGACAUGUACAUCAACCAGAGUUAAUGUCUGCUCUACCCCAUCCACACUGAAGAGGCUCUGACAUGUACAUCAACCAGGGUUAAUGUCUGCUCUACCCCAUCCACACUGAAGAGGCUCUGACAUGUACAUCAACCAGGGAUAAUGUCUGCUCUACCCCAUCCACACUGAAGAGGCUCUGACAUGUACAUCAACCAGGGUUAAUGUCUGCUCUACCCCAUCCACACUGAAGAGGCUCUGACAUGUACAUCAACCAGGGAUAAUGUCUGCUCUACCCCAUCCACACUGAAGAGGCUCUGACAUGUACAUCAACCAGGGAUAAUGUCUGCUAUACCCCAUCCACACUGAAGAGGCUCUGAAAUGAACCAGGGAUAAAGAGAAAGUUAACAG